rnacentral:rRNA from 1 species
UGGUAUGUACUGGCCUUACUGAUUCCUCCUUCUUGAAGAACUGUGAUGCCAUUUAUUUGGUGUUGCAGGGAAACUGGACUGUUACUUUGAAAAAAUUAGAGUGUUUAAAGCAGGCCAACGCUUGAAUACAUUAGCAUGGAAUAAUGAAAUAGGACGUUUGAUCCUAUUUUGUUGGUUUCUAGGAUUGACGUAAUGAUUAAUAGGGAUAGUUGGGGGCAUUAGUAUUCAAUUGUCAGAGGUGAAAUUCUUGGAUUUAUUGAAGACUAACUACUGCGAAAGCAUUUGCCAAGGAUGUUUUCAUUAAUCAAGAACGAAAGUUAGGGGAUCGAAGACGAUCAGAUACCGUCGUAGUCUUAACCAUAAACUAUGCCGACUAGGGAUCGGAUGAUGUUAAUUUUUUAAUGA